UACAACGAGUCGCAAGACCGCGAGGUUUAGCAAAUCUCUUAAAGCCGUUCUCAGUUCGGAUUGUAGGCUGCGACUCGCCUACAUGAAGUCGGAAUCGCUAGUAAUCGCGGAUCAGCAUGCCGCGGUGAAUACGUUCCCGGGCCUUGUACACACCGCCCGUCACACCAUGAGAGUUUGUAACACCCAAAGCCGGUGGGGUAACCUUUUGGAGCCAGCCGUCUAAGGUGGGACAGAUGAUUAGGGUGAAGUCGUAACAAGGUAGC
rnacentral:rRNA from 1 species